UACAGAGGUCCCAAGCGUUGUUCGGAUUCAUUGGGCGUAAAGGGUGCGUAGGUGGCGCCGUAAGUGGGGUGUGAAAAUUUCGGGAAGCUUAACUCCGAAAACUGCAUUCCAUACUGCGGUGCUUGAGGACUGGAGAGGAGACUGGAAUUACGGUGUAGCAGUGAAUGCGUAGAGAUCGUAAGGAAGACCAGUGGCGAAGGCGGUCUCGUGGACAGUUCCUGACACUGAGGCACGAAGGCCAGGAGCAAACGGG
rnacentral:rRNA from 1 species